AUGAACUGUUGCAAGCCCUUCUAUAAACAUGUCAUAGGCCAAGUAUCGACCAUCUAUGAGCCUUCCUUUUAUCACCAAGAAGUGUCUAGCCCUAAAUGGAGACAAGUCAUGGCAGAAGAAAUAUCUGCUUUAGAAGCUAACAAUACAUGUGGGGCUCAAAGAACGGAGAUAGAAAGGCCAUUGGUUGAGCUGGGAGAAGAUGGCUCGAGCAAAAGGAGCAAGAGAUAG